rnacentral:rRNA from 1 species
CCGUGGGGUGCCCCGCGAGGGGGAGCCCUAGCACAGGUGCUGCAUGGCCGUCGUCAGCUCGUGCCGUGAGGUGUUGGGUUAAGUCCCGCAACGAGCGCAACCCCCGCCGUUAGUUGCCAGCGGUUCGGCCGGGCACUCUAACGGGACUGCCCGCGAAAGCGGGAGGAAGGAGGGGACGACGUCUGGUCAGCAUGGCCCUUACGGCCUGGGCGACACACGUGCUACAAUGCCCACUACAAAGCGAUGCCACCCGGCAACGGGGAGCUAAUCGCAAAAGGGUGGGCCCAGUUCGGAUUGGGGUCUGCAACCCGACCCCAUGAAGCCGGAAUCGCUAGUAAUCGCGGAUCAGCCAUGCCGCGGUGAAUACGUUCCCGGGCCUU